UGGGGAAUUUUGGACAAUGGGGGCAACCCUGAUCCAGCCAUGCCGCGUGUCUGAAGAAGGCCUUCGGGUUGUAAAGGACUUUUGUCAGGGAGCAAAUCCUGCUUGUGAAUAAUGAGUGGGGAUGAGAGUACCUGAAGAAUAAGCACCGGCUAACUACGUGCCAGCAGCCGCGGUAAUACGUAGGGUGCAAGCGUUAAUCGGAAUUACUGGGCGUAAAGCGUGCGCAGGCGGUUCUGCAAGUCUGAUGUGAAAGCCCCGGGCUUAACCUGGGAACGGCAUUGGAGACUGCAGAGCUAGAGUACGUCAGAGGGGGGUAGAAUUCCACGUGUAGCAGUGAAAUGCGUAGAGAUGUGGAGGAAUACCGAUGGCGAAGGCAGCCCCCUGGGAUGAUACUGACGCUCAUGCACGAAAGCGUGGGGAGCAAACA
rnacentral:rRNA from 2 species